AGACAGCACAUGAAGUCAGAGACUGGCACAAUCACGCAGUGUAUUUGAGUAAUGGAGACGAGAAAGGGGCCAGAACCCCGAGUGAGGCUCUUUCUACUCUACCACAUUGCCUCUUUUUGCCUAGAUUUAUCAAUGGGGGCAAGUAGCUACAGAAUGCGUAAGCUGCGGAGAGGAGAGGUGCAGCACCGGGACCACAAGGGCCCUGCCAUAGCGCUGCCUGGUGACAGCGGGCGGCCACACUCGCGGUGGGCACGGCCGAGCUUGUAGAGGUGUCCAAUCACUGUGCUGUGCACCAGAACCUGAUGGAACGUUGUGUACCGACUACUCUUCAAUGAAAGCCACAAAUAAAGACGUGAUCGUUACUA